rnacentral:rRNA from 1 species
CUGUGGGUGGCGAGUGGCGGACGGGUGAGUAAUGCAUCGGGAUCUACCCUGACGUGGGGGAUAACCUCGGGAAACCGGGACUAAUACCGCAUACGUCCUACGGGAGAAAGCGGGGGACCUUCGGGCCUCGCGCGGCAGGACGAACCGAUGUGCGAUUAGCUAGUUGGCGGGGUAAUGGCCCACCAAGGCGACGAUCGCUAGCUGGUCUGAGAGGAUGAUCAGCCACACUGGGACUGAGACACGGCCCAGACUCCUACGGGAGGCAGCAGUGGGGAAUAUUGGACAAUGGGCGCAAGCCUGAUCCAGCAAUGCCGCGUGUGUGAAGAAGGCCUUCGGGUUGUAAAGCACUUUUAUCAGGAGCGAAAUACCACGGGUUAAUACCCUAUGGGGCUGACGGUACCUGAGGAAUAAGCACCGGCUAACUUCGUGCCAGCAGCCGCGGUAAUACGAAGGGUGCAAGCGUUAAUCGGAAUUACUGGGCGUAAAGGGUGCGUAGGCGGUUACUUAAGUCUGUCGUGAAAUCCCCGGGCUCAACCUGGGAAUGGCGAUGGAUACUGGGUGGCUAGAGUGUGUCAGAGGAUGGUGGAAUUCCCGGUGUAGCGGUGAAAUGCGUAGAGAUCGGGAGGAACAUCAGUGGCGAAGGCGGCCAUCUGGGACAACACUGACGCUGAAGCACGAAAGCGUGGGGAGCAAACAGGAUUAGAUACCCUGGUAGUCCACGCCCUAAACGAUGCGAACUGGAUGUUGGUCUCAACUCGGAGAUCAGUGUCGAAGCUAACGCGUUAAGUUCGCCGCCUGGGGAGUACGGUCGCAAGACUGAAACUC